GCGAAGGUCUCGGAGGGCCCGGCCCCGGGCUGCGAGGCGAACCCCGCUGCCUGAGCCAGUUCCCCAACCCGGUCGGAGAAUCCCUGCAGCUGCUCCGGCCGCACGUCCACCAGGGUGUGGGCACGAUUCUCCCCUUUCUCGGAUGAAGAAACUGGGGCUCUGCCCCGGCGGGUUGAAGCGGUGGCUAGAGCGCCGGCCCGCACAUGGAAGCGUUGCAGAUUCCCAACUCACCUGAAACCUCCUGCGUGGCCAGCGCGCCGCCCUGGCCAGGGUUUGCAGCAGGUGGCGCCCGUCCACGGAGCCCAGUAGCAGCACAUCUAGCUCGGGGGUCCCGUGCUCCGCAU